ACACACACACACAAGCUGUUCACCAUGUGCAACACACCCGUACAUGGUGAUUCCCCAACAGCCGCAGCCUGGGUUCUCGAGGUACAUGCUUGUUUCGACACUUUGAUGUUAGGAAGCAGGGCGGGACGUGAAAAUUCUGUUCCCAAGAGCAGAAACAAUUUGGUGUGGCAAAUGCGAGCCCUUUGCCAGCUUCCCUCCUGCACACACAUGUGGGGCUCUCACAAAUCCAAACCGCAGGCUGCAGGGGCCGGACUUGCAUCCUUCAUCAUGACAAUGGGAUUCACCAAGGAGGUUGGAUUGUUUACCUCCACCCUGCUGCUUGUGUGGGGACGUGUUACCCCGUCUCUUUAUGGCCCGGACACAUUUCAACCCCAAUGAAGUUUUCUCAACAUACCACAAUUCCCCACAUCUCAUGCACAUACGGACGGGAAAGGAACUUAUCGCUGAGACAAGCACCAUGCGCGCCUGGGAACUAGCAUGCUCCAGGAGAAGUGAAACACUUAAAGGGGAUUUCGGGUGUGUCCGGCACCGUCCUCAACUACGCCAGUCCACGGUCAAAGGAAGACCCCGUGACUGUGAUAAACUCCUGCCUGCACCAGCAGCAAGUCCUAAACGUGGCCCCCAGUAGAAGAAUUCCCCCCGUACUUUCCCCCAGCUGCCUUCUGAAUUACAUUUUUUCAAGAAAGUGAAUGAGAUUUAUGACGCAAAUCCCCUUCAUUAUGAAACCAAACACCAUCCAAGAACAUUUUGCCGCCGUGGGGAGCAAUUUCUAGACGACACACAACACAUGCUGAAAUACUUUUU